UACGUAGGCAGCGAGCGUUGUUCGGAAUUACUGGGCGUAAAGAGUGUGUAGGCGGUGCUCCAAGUCUGUUGUGAAAUCUCCCGGCUUAACUGGGAGGGUGCAGCGGAAACUGGAAUGCUUGAGGGUGGGAGAGGUAAGCGGAAUUCCUGGUGUAGCGGUGAAAUGCGUAGAUAUCAGGAGGAACACCUGUGGUGUAGACAGCUUACUGGACCACAUCUGACGCUGAGACCCGAAAGCGUGGGUAGCAAACAGG
rnacentral:rRNA from 1 species